rnacentral:rRNA from 1 species
UACGAAGGGGGCUAGCGUUGUUCGGAAUUACUGGGCGUAAAGCGCACGUAGGCGGCUUUGUAAGUUAGAGGUGAAAGCCCGGGGCUCAACCCCGGAAUUGCCUUUAAGACUGCAUCGCUAGAAUUGUGGAGAGGUAAGUGGAAUUCCGAGUGUAGAGGUGAAAUUCGUAGAUAUUCGGAAGAACACCAGUGGCGAAGGCGACUUACUGGACACAUAUUGACGCUGAGACGCGAAAGCGUGGGGAGCAAACAGG